UACGAAGGUCCCAAGCGUUAUCCGGAUUUAUUGGGUUUAAAGGGUGCGUAGGCGGGUUAUUAAGUCAGUGGUGAAAGCUCCAUGCCUAACAUGGAAAUUGCCAUUGAUACUGAUGAUCUUGAGUACAUUUGAAGUGGGCGGAAUGUGUCAUGUAGUGGUGAAAUACUUAGAUAUGACACAGAACACCGACUGCGUAGGCAGCUCACUAAACUGUAACUGACGCUGAGGCACGAAAGCGUGGGGAGCAAACAGG
rnacentral:rRNA from 1 species